GUCCUCUUGAUUAUAUUUUGAGGUCUGGUCUGCUCACUGACAAGGUUUUAAAGAGCCGCGGUAUUUUGACCGUGCAAAGGUAGCAUAAUCAUUAGUUUCUUAAUUAGGGGCUGGAAUGAAUGGCUUGACGAGAAAUCAUCUGUCUCUUAUUAAAUAAUAGAAUUUAACUUUUAAGUUAAAAGGCUUAAAUUUUUCUUUUAGACGAGAAGACCCUAUAGAGCUUAACAUUUUAUUUUUAUAUAAUUUUUGGUUAAUCUUUUUAUAUUUAAAGAUAAUGUUUUGUUGGGGUGACAUGAAUAAUAAAUAAACUUUUCAUUCUAAAAUCAUUAAUUUAUGUUUAAUAUGAUCCAUAAUUUAUGAUCAUAAGAUUAAGUUACCUUAGGGAUAACAGCGUAAUUGUUUUUGAGAGCUCAUAUUGACAAAGCAGAUUGCGACCUCGAUGUUGGAUUAAGAAUAAUUCUGGGUGCAGUAGCCCAGUAAUUAGGUCUGUUCGACCUUUAAAUUCUU
rnacentral:rRNA from 1 species